rnacentral:lncRNA from 1 species
UGUGGGAGAAGUGAAGGAGAGUGCACACAGCCGUGUGACUCGGCCUAAAUUUCUCAACCCCCAAAUCCUAAUUUUUUUUUAUUUUACUUUCAUCUUCCCCAAAUCCCUUAAUCCUAGCCGCCGCUAACUAACUCUCUUCCACCUCUCCGACCACAAUCGUUCCCUCAUUGCUCACGCAUCUCCUCUUCUCCACCACCCCAUGCCCUCUCCCUCUUUUCUCUUUUCUCUUUUCAUUCUCCCUUCCUCACCUCGUCAAGCAUCCACGCCUGCUGCCCCUACUCUUCCCCUCACCUCUCCAAACCCUCCUC